rnacentral:misc_RNA from 1 species
GAGGAUGUCAUCGAUACCUUUCUUUUUUGCAAAGCUGCAAGAGGCUCCAGAAAAGGGGUAAGUGGACUCAUCAAGAGGGUUACACUUACCUCCAUGUUCACUGAGGUUCCUAUUCUCCAUAAACUUGGAACCCAGAUCGAGUCCAUCCAAACUAAGAUUGUGAGGGUCUCUGCAAGCAUGCAGACUUAUGGCAUCAAACUCAUUGAAGAAGGAGGGGGGUCUAGAUCUAGAAGUGAGAUGCAACAGCAACUGAGAAGAUCAUAUCCACAUGACGAGGAAGAUGAUGUUAUCAGCUUAGAGGCAGGCUUAAGGGAAGUUAAAUCUCAGUUGAUGAUGGAGGAAGAGCAAAUGCGUGUUGUUUCCAUAGUGGGCAUGGGAGGA